rnacentral:rRNA from 1 species
AUGAACGCUGGCGGCGUGCCUAAUACAUGCAAGUCGAGCGAACAGACGAGGAGCUUGCUCCUUCGACGUUAGCGGCGGACGGGUGAGUAACACGUAGGUAACCUACCUACAAGACUGGGAUAACUUCGGGAAACCGGAGCUAAUACCGGAUAAUAUUUCGAACCGCAUGGUUCGAUAGUGAAAGAUGGCUUUGCUAUCACUUAUAGAUGGACCUGCGCCGUAUUAGCUAGUUGGUAAGGUAACGGCUUACCAAGGCAACGAUACGUAGCCGACCUGAGAGGGUGAUCGGCCACACUGGAACUGAGACACGGUCCAGACUCCUACGGGAGGCAGCAGUAGGGAAUCUUCCGCAAUGGGCGAAAGCCUGACGGAGCAACGCCGCGUGAGUGAUGAAGGUCUUCGGAUCGUAAAACUCUGUUAUUAGGGAAGAACAAACGUGUAAGUAACUGUGCACGUCUUGACGGUACCUAAUCAGAAAGCCACGGCUAACUACGUG